AGUUACCAGCACGUUAUGGUGGGCACUCUAAGGAGACUGCCGGUGGACAAACCGGAGGAAGGUGGGGAUGACGUCAAGUCAUCAUGGCCCUUACGGCCUGGGCUACACACGUGCUACAAUGGUCGGUACAAAGGGUUGCCAAGCCGCGAGGUGGAGCUAAUCCCAUAAAACCGAUCGUAGUCCGGAUCGCAGUCUGCAACUCGACUGCGUGAAGUCGGAAUCGCUAGUAAUCGUGAGUCAGAAUGUCACGGUGAAUACGUUCCCGGGCCUU
rnacentral:rRNA from 1 species